rnacentral:lncRNA from 1 species
GUCUUAUCAGCGCUGUCUGCAGCCAAAAAUACAAUUUGGAUAUCCUUUGUUCUUUGCAGACACCUCCGCUCUGAUCUCCAGACUAGUCUCCUUGUUGCCUUCUUCCCUGUUGUGCUUGGCAGGCUGCAGCAGAACUCCGGCUGGGAGCCAGAUCCUUGUUGGAUUGUUUCAAGGAGGCAGACAUGACCAGCACUAAGAUAGGAGGUUGGGUCUCCCAGCACCUGUGGAGCUGCAGCAUCUUCCAGCAGAGGCAGGCCUUGACCCUGCUGCAGGGAGCUGCCCUUCACAGCCAUGCCUGCUGCUUCUGUCUCCCUCUCUGCUCAGGAAAUGACAUGUUGGAUUUCAUUUGGCAUGGUCCACUGAAAACUGUAUCUGAUGGGUGGCAGAUCUCACGUUCACAAAUGGCCUCUAGGUUUUAG